CCUCUACCCAGGACAAAAACCUUAACAAAAAAUGGCUUCUACCAUUUCCACCCUGGUGUUCUCUAUUGCGCCCAGGGGAUUUCUCUAUUGCGCGGCCGGUGAUGCUGCUUUUUAAAGGUUUUGAUGAAUAUUUCGCUCUUUUCCCAUACAGAAAUGAGUUGAGUAUGUUGUUAAAUGUUGGCUAAUUGGCGGCUAUUGAAAACGGGGAUUUAGCUGAGGGAAAUCUGUUAAGUUUUCAUAUGGCUUUGUGUGAGGUGGGAGUGCUCCUCACUGACCUCGCUGCGGAUGUCUGGGCACCGUACGGUAGGGGCCUUCACCAAGCAAAGUCCAUCCCUACCACAAAAGCCUCUAUUUUUUUCUUUUUUUAAAAAAGUAAUUAUUGAGGUGAAAUUCACAUAUAAAAUUAACCAUUUUAAAGUGUACAGUCCACUGGCACUUAGUACAUUCACAAUCGUGUGCAGCUGUCACCUCUGAUUCCAAGAAGUUUCACCACUCCAAAAGGAACCCCAAUGCCCGUUAGCAAUCCCUCCCCAUUUCUCGCCCUCUCUCCAGAUUCAAGUGAUCACUCUUCUACUCAAAAAGCCCUGCGUUUAAAGAAUUGUUGGCACCUGGAUGGUAAAUCUUCAAGUUACUGUGAAACAAGAUCACAAACCAAAAAGUAACAUAGGAAAUACUAAAGACUGGAAUAUUUUAUCAGAUUUUACUCAGUUUCAUAUACAGAAGGAUAUAGGACUGUUUUGACGGAUUCUAAAUGACAACUUUUAAAUCAGAGCCUUGAAAUCUACAGAAGUCCAAUAUAUACUGAGGUAAUUUGCAUAUUCUAAUGAGGAGGAGCAAGAGACACAUCUGGUAGACAUAAAAGACCUAAUGAAAA